UACGUAGGGUGCAAGCGUUGUCCGGAAUUAUUGGGCGUAAAGAGCUCGUAGGUGGCCUGUCGCGUCGGCUGUGAAAACCCGGGGCUCAACCCCGGGCCUGCAGUCGAUACGGGCAGACUAGAGUGCGGUAGGGGAGACUGGAAUUCCUGGCGUAGCGGUGAAAUGCGCAGAUAUCAGGAGGAACACCGGUGGCGAAGGCGGGUCUCUGGGCCGUAACUGACGCUGAGGAGCGAAAGCGUGGGGAGCGAACAGG
rnacentral:rRNA from 1 species